GGCAGAGAGGUCAGCCUGCCUGUGGGCUGAAACUGUACUCCAAUCGAGCAAUGUGUCUACAGAUGCCUGACUAACUAGAACUGAGUUAGAUCUAACAAAGUCUCCCUUUGAGGACAACUAAGAACUCCUACAAUUAUAGUGGUUCCCCAGGCGAAAGUAAACAGUGCGGAGCGGCUGAUAGCUCACAUCCAGGCUUCCUCUGGCAGGAACCAGCUGUGUCUGUGGGCAGAUCAUUCUUCCCGUUCCUACCGGACAGUGGUGCCCAUACUUCCUCUCGAACACCUCCUGGUCUGCGCAUAAGUUCAGACGCUUUGAAAGCAGACCAGUCUGCUGAUAGACGCCUGCUUUCAAACACUCCCACUUUUAAAACGUGUGCUUUCAAACGCUCCUCUGCGUUGAUCAUUGUAGCCAAUCACAGACAUAUCUGUUGAGCGUGUGAACACAAAGGCCAAUCAGAGGUGUUUACGAAUCCGCUCAACAGCGCUCAAAGCAUCACAUUUUUAAAAUUUGGUAUCGCAAUCUGUACUUUUGACAAUACUACCAAGCUGAUGUCAAAGAACUAGCGGCGACUAAAGCCGACUGUGAUUGAAUAUCAAUCACGUUGAUUACUUUUUUCAUUCCAGGCGAAUCAUGUUGUUAUGAAAAUAUUUGCGUAUCCUCAGGUAAAAUUAGAACAGUCUUCUGUCUGUGACAUCUUGACUUUUUUUGCUUAACUUCUUUUUUGCUUUAACUUUUAUUUCAUAACUUCAAGGCCCUGUUUACACCUGGUAUUAAGAUGUGUUUUGGUCGAUCGGAUCACAAGUGGACGAGGGAGACACAUUCCCAUUUACACCUGGUGUUUGAAUCCGUCUCUUUUGUCCAUUUUCAACCACUUCUGUCCUGAUUUCUUCGAGGGGAGGGUCUAUGGGCGGGUAAAUGUAUGUUUUUUUUUUCAGAACUUUCAAUCUAAUGGAUGAAAGAAGCUUGUGCAAUUUACAUAUGAACGCGACCGGAGACGACGGAAAAAAAUACGGAGAGCAUCAGCUUUCGUUUCUGCUCUUAUAGCCGUAAGAUCAGCCAAACGCUCUGAGUGUGUGUUAGAAAUCAGGAAUGGUGAGAGAACAUUGUGCUUGGUACGUUUUUCAUCUUCAAACCAAAUUUGUGUCUUCAGCCGACAAAGUUUAAAUCCCGUCUGACUAGCACGCUUCCCAUAAUGUUUAUGUGUUAGGUCAGUAGGUGGAAAGUAGGUAAGAUAUUUUGCGUUGUUCGAACACAUUCCACCACAUGAGCAUUUACACUAUGAAAGCAAUCCAUUCGAAUGCGUUUUCACCUGCCCCUGGAAAAGAUCGAGAGUGGACAAGCUCAAAACUUUUUAGACCCCAUUUACACCUGUAUUUAGCGUCAUCCACUUGUGAUCCGAUCGACCAAAACUCAUCUUAAUACCAGUUGUAAACAGGGCCCAGCAUGCUGACUUGACCAAACUGUCACUGACGGGGGCCAGAUUAGAGCUGAGAUGUGGAACGCACCACAGAAACUAGGCGGGCAGCCCAACGUUGGCUGACGACCAUCGGCUUGGUGUGUCACGGCCUUAAGAUGUUUAGGUUUGCUGCUAAUUUAUUCUGAGUAGUUGCUACAUGGUUGCUUAAAAUGGUUGUUUAAAAUGUCCGACAUAUAGAGCAGUUGCACUUCGGGCGUCCCGAGUUCGAGUCCCGGCUCGUGGACCUUUCCCGAUCCCGUCCUCCUCUCUCUCUCUCCAACUUUGCUUCCUGUCAACUUACUGUCCUGUCAUAAUAAAGGCAAAAACAACAAAAAUAAAUCUUAAAAAAAAAAAUACAAAAUCAUCUGAUAGCUUAGAAAAGUAGUUGCAUGCCUCUCCUAAAUAACCCACAGGAUUUAAGGUGUCAUUCCUGUCUGUUAAACAGUGAAGUUUAGUACAUAGUUUUGCAGGUUUGUUUCAGAUCUCUAAUCUUAAGCAUGAGCAAUAGUAACAGAGCUUGCCUUAGCAAAACUUUUUUUAAGAAAGAUAAUGGAGAAAGAGAGAAUUAGAGCCUCAGGGCUAGAGAGUAGCAGUCCUGCAGCCCACUGCAGUAAUGCUGGUACUGAGAAAUUAGCCUGUGUACAGCUGUGACCCACACACACACACACACAUACACACACACACACUUAUUCUGAGGACAGAAGUGAAAGGGGAUGUGCACACAGAUGCACCGGCUGUCACUGCCAAACUCACACAGAUGGUGGCCAGCAGAGUGGAUAUGAGAGUGUGUGUGCGGGAGUUUGGCCAUGUGUUACAGGUGGAAGUUUUGUAACAGAGGCGUAACUAUAUCAUAUUUUUUGUCCCCCAUAACCACAAAAUAUUUUAGGGACUUUCCUCGUGUGUACACAGUGGAAAAUGUAAUGCUCAGAGGUUGCUCUUUCUAUAUCAACUUUGAUGUUUCUGCUAAAUUGUGCCUUGGAGAAAUAAAAAUACACUCAACUGAGA